rnacentral:lncRNA from 1 species
GCCGGGCAGGGCGGGUAAGUUGUCGUAGGGGCCCGGUCCGUGAGGGACUGCUAAGGAAGAGGCUGCAUGGCGCGGUAGUCCCCCGAGUGGAGGUCGGCUGCCCCUGGGAAACCAGAGAGUCGGAGGGAGUCCAUCUGGAGCGGCCAACUUCUCCUCUUAAGAACAAUGAUGAAGGCUCACUGGACAUAUACGCUGGGUUGGACAGUGCUGUUUCUGACAGCGCUUCCAAAUCCUGUGUACCAUCAAGAAAUUGUUUGGACUUAUAUGAAGAGAUCCUGACUGAAGAAGGAACUGCAAAGGAGGCAACAUAUAAUGAUUUGCAAGUAGAAUAUGGAAAAUGUCAACUACAAAUGAAAGAGCUGAUGAAAAAAUUUAAAGAAAUACAGACACAGAAUUUCAGCUUAAUAAACG